GGAUGGUUGUAUAACGAUCCAGUCGAAGUGAGUUGAUUUGGGUGUGAGGGGGCGAGUGGGUGAAAGGACGAUUCCAGGAGGAGGGGUGAAGACAUUCGGGGGAGGACAACAAUUCUGCUCAACUCGGGAAACUGAUCUAAAAGGUGCACCAUAAACAAGGUGAACUACAGGUGAAGUCACUCAAUCCAGUCCCAGAGGCUUGUUGGGGGGACCAUACCAAGGACUCCUGGUGACAGCUAGCUGAAAGAGCUACCCAGAUUCAUAUCGCACGGCGGGAGGGUAAGACAUAUUGGCACUGUCGAACAAUAAACAGUGUUCGAGAGGAGAACUGGAAUUAACAGAAUUCCGGGGGCCAUCUCUCGAAUGAAGUAACCCUCCCUGUCCUGUCACCCCUGUUUUUGUUCAUAGAAGUGAAGAUGUGUCUGGCUCUUGCUAAGUGAUGUGUUCUUGGGGAAAGGGUGGGGCUUCAAAUGGAAGCUGUUCGUCUGAUCUGUCUUAUAGUGGGUGACAUAUUCCUGAUACAGCACGUCCUACUUGAGUAUGCGGAGAGUGGUAAUUUGACCCAUGGUUUAGACGAUGAGGAUUUUGUUCCAAAAUAAGCAUAAGAGAUCCCUAGAUCUGGGUAGACAGGAAGUUAGAGCAGAGAUUACAUGAUAACCGACUUCGGACAGUUCUAGGAUUGGAGAAGAGGGUAUCCUUAUAGCAUAAGGGAUCCCACAAAGGUGGGUAGGUUUUCCAUGAUAUGGGGAAAACCUGGGAGCACUGUUGAACUUUGUAAAGGUGAUGAAAUCCUACUAACCAUCAAAACUAUUAAGCUCUCUGAUGCAGGCACUUACACCCUCGGACUACAAAGGACGAGGACAGACAUGAUGGGUGUGUUUUCUAUUAAGGUGCUGCCAAAACCAGAGGUCCCAGACGAACCAGAGCCAGACACACUCCUCUACCACCCCUGGACCGAACCUGCCACCACUGUGUUAAAAAUACCAUUCAGGUAAUUAAUGUUAGAGACUAUUCAGCUAUUGAUCAGUUAGGCACUGAGACUGGUUUUGAUGGUAGUGACAAUUUGUGGCUGUCCUAUAUGAGGUAUACAGCUAACACCCUGAGAAGAAAGGACUGCAUUAUUUGUAGUCAUGCUAGACCUGUUCUGACUACACACCCAUUUGCUGUAGGAGAAGGAGAGGGGUGGUUGUGUAUUCUGAGAAGUUUUUACCAGGUUAAGCCCAAUUCAACCCUCUGUUCCUCUUUGAGCCUUGUGUUUCCUGCAGUACCUCCUCAUCGGGCCUCUUGGGGUGUUGAGACAUAUGGGGGCAAUUACAGUUGCAUCACUGGUACAGGUACAUGGCAUUGAUUAUGGGAGAUUGCCUGAAGCUGAUUGCAGUAGUAACAUAACCAUUAAUUCCACUUGGCCAGUUACAGGCCUAAACCAAACUAGUGGUCUGGCUGAUGUGUGGUGGAUGUGUGGAGCCAAAGAGUGCUGAGACCCAUUCUUAGAGGAGAAUGGCAAGGUACAUGUGGUCUGACCAGUUUGAUAAUUCCACUGACCAUUGUUGAUGUUACUGCUGAACAGCUGCUGGGUUCUGUAUCCAGGGGACCUGAAAACAUUCCAUCCCAUGGGAGACAUAGACGUAGUACUCCAUGGACAGAGGAUGUAGUUGACAUACACACUAACCUGUUGGGAGUGCCAGUGGGGGUUCAUCAUGAGUUUCAGGCCUUGGGUAGGAAUGAUGGACCCUGGCACUUACUACCUAUUAUGGGUCCAGCCAUAGUGGAUGCUAGACAGACUGCAUGGAUUAAUUAUAUCUACUAUAAUCAACAGUGUUUUGUGAAUUACUCCCGUGAUGCACUCACUGGUAUGUCUGAACAGCUUGAGGCCACAUCUAGGGUUGCCAGACAGAAUAGACUUGCUUUGGAUAUGCUUCUUGCCAGUCAGGGGGGCGUCUGCAAGAUGUUCGGUGAACAACGUUGCACGUUUAUUCCUAAUAACACCAGUCCUGAUGGUAGUAUAUCUAAGGUCCUUAGUGGGCUUGAUGCACUAUCUGCUGAGAUGAGGACCAUGGCGGGGGUGGAGGAGUCUGGACUGUUCUCUUGGUUGGGAGCCUGGUUUGGUAAGUACACUGGUAUGUUGGUUGCUGGAUUUCUGACCCUAAUUCUUGUAUUUUUGUUUUUGAUGUGUUGUGCUGCUUGCAUCAUACCGUAUUUUAAGAAGUCUGUUACAGAUGUGGUGAAGGCUUCAGGCAUGAUGCCUUUGCUUGAUGCUCCAGUUGGAGAUGCUGAUACUGAAGCAUGCUUUCAGGGGAGGAUGAGACUGACUGAGGAUGACCCAUGUAUGUUUGUUCUCCCUGUUGUGAAGGUUUGGAGUCCCUGGGUGGCAUGGUGCCCACCUGGUGCAGGAUAGGAGUAGCUGAGAGGACCAGAUGGUUUAUAAUAAUGCUUUGCUCUGCUUUACUCUGUUUUCCAUGACCAAAGUUUUAUCCUACAUCUUACAUGUCAAUAAACAAUAAAGUCUUAUCCUGUUUUUGUCAAAAGGGGAAAAGGGGGAUUGUUGGAUCCUGUAUUUUACAUUAUAGCCAUUACCAUAUAUAUGAUUGAAUAUUAUCUGCUGUUGCCUUGUGUGGAUGUAUGUGUUAUGCAACAUAGCUGACUUGAAACAUUGUUAAAAGUUUCAAGGCCAUGGGCCUUUCUCAUGAUGGAAAAGUAGCAUGAAGACAGGAACUGUUCAAUGAGUUGGGAGGGGGGCACAUUCAGAGCGGGGUGUUGCGAGAACAAGCGGUCUUUUGUUAGAUAACAGGAGCCAGGUGCGAGAUAACGGUAUGGAGCAUGAGAGCCUGGAUGUUCUUCACAAGCAAGUUAUCACAUCUCUUUGGAGAUGUGAAGAGAGGGAAUCACAACUUUUUCCUGCUGGAAAAAGUUGGCUUAUGUGGACAAACAUUUUACUGUUAUUUUGAGCUGUUGUUCUCCGCUCUGUUAAAUGAGGGUUUUGAGUUCCUAGGUGGCUGGUAGCCAACUUAGUACAUAGUGGGAUUGAAUGGAGGACAUGUAGGUAUUUUAAACCUUGUGACUGUUAUAUGAUUCAUUGCUGAUUUUGUGUUCACACCCUUGGGGUUAUUUUACAUUGUAGCCAUACCAUAUAUAUGAUUAACACAAACUUUUCCCUCUGGGAAAAGUUUUCUUUUUGUGUCUGGAUCCAGUUUAGGUUGUGUCACGUCUCUGGGGAGACUUGAAGAGAGGGAUUUGUAAAGAAAUGUUAAUUCUUAUGCAGGCGACCAACUUACUGCUAUUGCCUUGAAGAGCACACACACAUACACACACUAACUGCCGAGGACACACAGAUAAGAGCGCACAACACAUACACCCACACAUUGCGAGGAGGACACACAGCCUUGACUUGCAGAGACAAGCACACACACAUAAUCUCCCUCUUAGCUGAACAUUGUGUGACGGGGAACGGCACGACGAGACUCAGAAGGAUGACUGCACGGCUCAACAGGACCAAUCCAAGAAGACAACACCUCAACUGUGACCAACCAGAAGACCAGAACUUCCAGACUCAACCUACUUUCUGUACUGUAUAUGACAUGCUUGCACUCUGUUAUCGGGGCUUCUUUCUGAUGGUUCCUUAGGAGCCGAAUGAACGGGCCCGUAUAUACGCUGUACCAGAUAUCUUUACUCUGAAUAAACUGUCGCUUGUCAUACAAUCUA